GUGAAAUUGUUGAAAGGGAAACGGUUGAAGUCAGUCACACUGGCGGAAAUCAACUUAGGGAAAACUCUAAAUACACCUUAUUUGAGAGAUUAACGUCGUUUUUGGACUCCAUAAAAUAUCGGGAAAGGUAGUUCCUUCGGGAGUGUUAAGCUCUUGGUAGAUGUAAUAUCUGGGAUCGAGGAUUGCAAUGGAUAUCCUUUGGGCUAGCUGUCUGAUCUCUAACACAAUGUUGGAUUAUGGACAGCACGCUGACUGUGAUCCGAUUUGCGGUUAAAAUAUUAGAGCGAGUGUGAAUUCGUUAAGGACGUUGACGUAAUGGCUUUAAACGAC
rnacentral:rRNA from 1 species